UGAUGUGGCACAGCCUGGUUUUUGGUAGCAGGAAAGGGCCACGGGAGCAGCUUCUGUGACAAGCUGCUGGAAGCUUCAACCAUCUCUGACAAAGCAAAUCUCUGAUGGCUCUGAAGAUGGACAUGCUGCUGGCCCAGUUAGAGAGGGUAAGCGACAACUUUCAUGCCUGGCAUUUGGCCAGUGUCAAACCACAACACAAGGAAAACUAUGACCACUGCUUCAGCUUCCAAUUUCCAACUUUAGAGACAUGGGAACAGCACCAAGUAGUUCAGUUUCUAUUUUCACAACCAACUGAGAGCAGGAGCUGAGCAGCAGACAGAGCAGGUUCCAGUCAGACCAUUUAGGAUAACCUGGAUUGUGUCAUGGCUCUGUUAUGACUCCAGGAGGUGGCCAGUGACAAGAACCAGCUUGCAGCAGGUGAGGAAGAGCCCAAAGGAUUCCCAGAGAUCUGGGAGGGUGGACGUGGAAGAGUGGGAUGUCAGCAAUGUGGUGUGCAGGGUGAAGAGGGCAAGAGGAUUGGUCUAAGGAGGACAAUUCUUGGUGCUUCCACAAAGGGAAGGGCUAGCAGAAGAUCACAGUAGGAGCAAGCUUGGCCUCUUGCUCUGCAGGUUACCUACUGGGAAUUUAAUCCAUAUCUUGUCCCUGCUCCCAGGAAAGCAAGUCAGGCCCAUCUCUGGAGCAGAGACAGGACUCAACGAGGUUUCCAAUGCCUGCAAGCAGUGAAGCUCAGUGAUGAGCUGAUCUCUGCUGGGUGAGGAAGGUCCAUGUCCUCAGCUGCUCCCAAAGCCCCAGGCAUGUCCUUGUCCAACUCAGUCAAAGUUGUAGUAAAGGCAGAAAGCGAAGAACAUGGCAAAGAUCUGGAAUGAUGGAGGUGAGAGAGGGUCAACCCCAUGGCAGGGCCAGGCUGGGCCUGCAGAUGGAAGCAGAGAGGGGCUGGAGGAUCCCUGGCCUGGGGCCACUGCUGUGCCCCUCGAGGGGUCUGGGCCAGCUGUCCUGGUGCUGCACAGGGACACCCAGGGUGAGGAGACCCAGGGGGAGUAAAACAAACCCUCCCUUGUUCCUUCACCUGCCCCAUCUGCAGUGGAGAGCAGGCUCUGUACCCUGAGACAGACCUGAGCCCCUCUGUGCUCUCCUUGCCCACUGAGCAACCCCCACACCACCAAGAGUGGAUGCUCUGCCUGCCCUGGCCCUGACCCCCCUCAUUACCUCAAUGCCCAGCACGGCUAAGCUGCAGGUCCCAGGGAGGGAGAUGUACCUCUGCAGCGUCCUGCCAAAGGUGAAGAAGCAGCCCUGGGGCAGAGAGAGGAUGGAGAGGCUCUCUCAUGUUCCCCAUGGCCACAGGGACCCAGAGGGGGACCAGAGUGCAGGGGGAUGUGGGGGGGUCCCCUGUGGGGCAGGACAAGCUGAG